UAAUAUUAUAUGUAUAUAUAUAUAUAUACUUAUUUAUUUAUUUUUGCUGAAAAAAGAAUAUAAUAUUAAAAUAUCAUAUUCUUUCUAUUUCUAAAACGAAACACACCAACUUUGAUAUGUGUUAUAUGUGUUGGAGGGAAAAACGGACAAUUCUUAUUACAACAAUGUUUUGUAGUUCCGAUCUAAUCAUACACUCAUCACAUGUGCUAAAAUUUAUUGACAGAAAUUAUAUGAGUUGACUAUCUAUUAAUACCAAUGUUAAAAACUACGCUAGGCGGUAGUCGAAACUAAAAGAUCGGAGACUAUUUUCAGUUUUUAGGAUACUUUCUGUAAUAGAUACUAUUAUUUUGAACAGUUACCAUUAAUUUCAGCUAACGGUGGAGAGAGGGCUUCGAACGACAUCAAAGAAGGCAGACGCGGAGGCGGAUCUGGAAGUGGACGAAAUCGCAACGGAAGAAGUAGCGGAUGGAAGAGACACAAUCACCACCAUAGUCAUGGGAGAGAAGAGCUGCUUCAAGAGGAGGAUGGAGGACCGAUGGAGCUGGGGUUGAAGAGAUUCAGCGCACCUAAGGCUUCAUGGAAUCCUCCGUCCCUUUAAAUUGAUCGUGUAAAGCACAGUGACUUUAUAAUCUCUGACUUUUGAUAUACUCUUUUUGAACCUUGAA